rnacentral:rRNA from 1 species
AAAUUGAAGAGUUUGAUCAUGGCUCAGAUUGAACGCUGGCGGCAGGCCUAACACAUGCAAGUCGAACGGUAACAGAAAGCAGCUUGCUGCUUUGCUGACGAGUGGCGGACGGGUGAGUAAUGUCUGGGAAACUGCCUGAUGGAGGGGGAUAACUACUGGAAACGGUAGCUAAUACCGCAUAACGUCGCAAGACCAAAGAGGGGGACCUUCGGGCCUCUUGCCAUCGGAUGUGCCCAGAUGGGAUUAGCUUGUUGGUGGGGUAACGGCUCACCAAGGCGACGAUCCCUAGCUGGUCUGAGAGGAUGACCAGCCACACUGGAACUGAGACACGGUCCAGACUCCUACGGGAGGCAGCAGUGGGGAAUAUUGCACAAUGGGCGCAAGCCUGAUGCAGCCAUGCCGCGUGUAUGAAGAAGGCCUUCGGGUUGUAAAGUACUUUCAGCGGGGAGGAAGGGAGUAAAGUUAAUACCUUUGCUCAUUGACGUUACCCGC